UUGAGGCAUCCUGAAAUGCCGAAGAGAGACACUUGCAGAAAGCCAGAUCUUUCCUGGAACACCCACCCGUUGACAAAGAGAGCGACGGGCUUACGUAUCAGAAACAUAAUGUUGCCACGUAUAUGAGGUGACAUGAGAGGAGACCUAAGAAAUUUGCAGGAGCCGACGGGGAGCCGACGGGGAGCCGACGGGGAGCCGACGGGGAGCCGACGGGGAGCC